UUGGCACUUUCGAAGCUUUCGCGAUCUCUCCGUGGUCGCCAGAGUCAAAAAGAUGCCUAGAUCAAGCCCCAAAUAC